UAAGACAGAGGGUGCAAACGUUGUUCGGAAUUACUGGGCGUAAAGCGCGUGUAGGCGGCAAUACAAGUCGGAUGUGAAAUCCCGCGGCUUAACCGUGGAAGUGCACCCGAAACUGUAUCGCUAGAGUCCCGGAGAGGAUGGUGGAAUACUUGGUGUAGAGGUGAAAUUCGUAGAUAUCAAGUGGAACACCGGUGGCGAAGGCGGCCAUCUGGACGGUGACUGACGCUGAGACGCGAAAGCGUGGGUAGCAAACAGGAUUAGAUACCCUGGUAGUCCACGCCGUAAACGAUGAGUGCUAGUUGUCAGAGGCUUUGACCCUUCUGGUGACGAAGCUAACGCGUUAAGCACUCCGCCUGGGGAGUACGGUCGCAAGACUA
rnacentral:rRNA from 1 species